rnacentral:rRNA from 1 species
CCGUACAACGAUUCCCCUAGUAACGGCGAGUGAAGCGGGAACAGCUCAAAUUUGAAAUCUAGUAGCCUUCGGCUGCUCGAGUUGUAAUCUAGAGAAGUGUUUUCCGUGCCGGCCCAUGUACAAGUCCCUUGGAACAGGGCGUCAUAGAGGGUGAGAAUCCCGUCCUUGACAUGGACCCCCGGUGCUCUGUGAUACACUUUCAACGAGUCGAGUUGUAUGAGAAUGCAGCUCAAAAUGGGUGGUGAAUUCCAUCUAAAGCUAAAUAUUGGCGAGAGACCGAUAGCGAACAAGUACCGUGAGGGAAAGAUGAAAAGCACUUUGGAAAGAGAGUUAAACAGUACGUGAAAUUGUUGAAAGGGAAACGAUUGAAGUCAGUCAUGCUCUUUGGUAUUUAUAUCAUUGAGUGGGGUCAACAUCAGUUUUGAUCGAUGGAUAAAGGCACUAGGAAGGUAGCACUCUCGGGUGAACUUAUAGCCAAGCGUCAUAUACAUUGAUUGGGACUGAGGAACGCAGCAUGCCUUUAUGGCCGGGAUUCGUCCACGUACAUGCUUAGGAUGUUGACAUACUACAAUCGUGCUUUAAACGU